AUUGAACGCUGGCGGCAGGCCUAACACAUGCAAGUCGAGCGAGCGUCGGACGGGUGAGUAAUGUAUGGGGACUGCCCGAUAUAGGGGGAUAACUACUGGAAACGGUAGCUAAUACCGCAUACUAUCGGAUAACCCAUAUGGGAUUAGCUAGUAGGUGAGGUAAUGGCUCACCUAGGCGACGAUCCCUAGCUGGUCUGAGAGGAUGAUCGGCCACACUGGGACUGGGACACGGCCCAGACUCCUACGGAGGCAGCAGUGGGGAAUAUUCCCCAAUGGGCGCAAGCCUGAUGCAGCAACGCCGCGUGUAUGAAGAAGGCCCUAGGGUUGUAAAGUACUUUCAGUCGGGAGGCGUUACCGACAGAAGAAGCACCGGCUAACUCCGUGCCAGCAGCCGCGGUAAUUC
rnacentral:rRNA from 1 species